rnacentral:lncRNA from 1 species
CUUGGAAAGAGCAACCCUCACCUCCCCUAAAUGGAAAGAGAUGCAUGCAACCUGAGUGGAAUUAAAGAAAAUACAGCACACAGAGAGUACCCUGACUGCCUAAAAUGAAGGGUUAUCAAAACAUUAAUGAAACUCCCAUCCAGCAAAUAAUAAAGCAAGUCCCCUGAUGACCCAUCAGCCGUGGUGCAACAUUGCCAGUCACUACACAACAGAGGAGCAGCUGCUAAAUAAAAAGGCGCUUAGGAGCCACAACAUAGCAAGAGGACAGAGCAGCCGUCUUCAAACAAGCUAAACAAUCAGCUCAAUGAAGACAGAAGUCUUGAUCAGCUGUAAUCAGUAUUCCUCAGAGCCAUGCAGGUGCUCUGAGAUGUCAGUUCCUGCCUUCCUGGAGAAGAGAGCGCCUGUUCCUACCUGCAAGUGGCUGCAUGCUGUCCUAGGAAGAGGGUUUCCCCUCUUGGCUGUGGGGCACUUUACCAGGAACUCCCACCAUAGGGAAUUAGGUUUCCCAGUGGUACCACAUCCCUUCCACCUGCAGGUGACCGUCACCCUGUCACCCCACCUCCUGGCACCACUAUGCUCCUGAUUCUUCACCAGCUUCUGCAGCCCAGAGAGAGCAUGGGGAAUGGGAGCCAGAAGCAGCCCUGUUGCAUGGCAGCCUUUGCUGGGGGCACUGGAGCAGCUUGAACCUCGCAUUGAUGCUGCUGGCUGCAUCCCUCACUGGCCCUGACUCAUGGGCUUGCCUUCCCUUCCAGCACUGGCACACACCAAACCCCAGCCAGGCCUGGCAGCAGCCCAGAACUGAGGGCUCUUCUUCUCCUGAAGCCUGGGAGAUGUUAGUGUCUUUGGGUCCACACAUCCUCGCCUGGCUGCAGCUGAGGUGACCCAGGAGCUUCCCACACUGCCAAGCAAAGCUCAGGAGGGUGGUGUGAUAACCCCCGUGUCCUUUUGCUACCAAACCAUGCUGGUGAAAGAGUCAUGCACGUUUUUGAAAUAAAGGGAAGACUGUGGCAGCCCA